rnacentral:ncRNA from 1 species
UUGUCUUCAGGGCAGGGUGCAAGUCCCUACCGGCAGUUAUAGUCUGCUAGCGACGGCAACGCUGAUAUUGAUAUCGGCGUUUCCUUAGCAUGAAUCGGUGAAAUUCCGAUACCGACAGUAUAGUCUGGAUGGAAGAAGAUA